GAUGAAGAACGUAGCGAAAUGCGAUAAGUAGUGUGAAUUGCAGAAUUCAGUGAAUCAUCGAAUCUUUGAACGCACAUUGCGCCCUUUGGUAUUCAAAAGGGCAUGCCUGUUCGAGCGUCAUUUGUACCCUCAAGCUUUGCUUGGUGUUGGGCGUCUUGUCUCUAGCUUUGCUGGAGACUCGCCUUAAAGUAAUUGGCAGCCGGCCUACUGGUUUCGGAGCGCAGCACAAGUCGCACUCUCUAUCAGCAAAGGUCUAGCAUCCAUUAAGCCUUUUUUUCAACUUCUGACCUCGGAUCAGGUAGGGAUACCCGCUGAACUUAAGCAUAUCAAUAAGCGGAGGA
rnacentral:misc_RNA from 1 species